rnacentral:rRNA from 1 species
AUACGUAGGGGGCGAGCGUUGUCCGGAAUGAUUGGGCGUAAAGGGCGCGUAGGCGGCCCGGUAAGUCUGGAGUGAAAGUCCUGCUUUUAAGGUGGGAAUUGCUUUGGAUACUGUCGGGCUUGAGUGCAGGAGAGGUAAGUGGAAUUCCCAGUGUAGCGGUGAAAUGCGUAGAGAUUGGGAGGAACACCAGUGGCGAAGGCGACUUACUGGACUGUAACUGACGAUGAGGCGCGAAAGUGUGGGAGCAAACAGGAUUAGAUACCCUGGUAGUCCACACUGUAAACGAUGAAUGCUAGGUGUAGGGGGUAUCGACCCCUUCUGUGCCGCAGUUAACACAAUAAGCAUUCCGCCUGGGGAGUACGGCCGCAAGGUUGAAACUCAAAUGAAUUGACAGGG